GUGAAAUACCUCCACACGCCUUGUACUGCUUUUGGAUCGAGUGUGAAUAUAGUAUUUUUUAGACUUUCCCUUACUAAAAGGGUAAUUCUGAGCGGGGAGACGCAGUCCAUUUCUGAGUUAGUUGUUUACAAAAAACACAUGUUAGUGUAACAGUGUAUACGGAAUUAAAGAGAAAAUGUCAAACACGCCGUGACAUCCAAAAUACAUUCAGCUGUUCUCUUUUACUAUGGGGACUUUCAUUCCGCAGUGGGCUUCCUCCAAGACCCAGUGUUUUUGUGUGUUGGGUUAAAAAUAGCCUGCCAAGCCUGACAACUCGCUUCUGAUUGGCCCGAAGCACAGGCCGUUCAGCCAAUGAUAGCUUCUGGGAACAAAAGCAAUUCUUUUGUGUGUGUGAGAUGCUAAACCCACGUCAAAACAGCUUCGGGCUGUAGAAAUGAUUUGGGUUGCGAUUUAACAAGGAAACAGAACCUCCAUCUCUGGAAAGAACACUGACUUAGAAGUAGAUUUCAAGCAAAGUGAGUGAGACUGGAGGACAUAAUGUUAAGUGAAACAAGCCAGACCCAGAAAAAAAGGCACACUAAGGAUUAUCCGGAACCAUCUUCAAAGCAACUGGAGGAACUCCACUCAUGUGUAACAAGAACCAUCCAAGUACCACAGUACAACUACUUUCUUAUUUUAAAAUGUAACUACCCUCCAGAAACUUCCUGUUCCUUACAAACUGAAUAUCCAGUCUUGCUACAGACCAGAAGUGACAAAUUGUUGAGAAAUGGCAGCCAGGCAUCAUGCCUGAAAUCCCAGAACUCAAAAGUUUGAGGGAGAUCUUAAGUUUAAGGCAAACCUGAGCCACAUGGUAAGCUUGAAGUUAGCCUGGCCUUCAAAAGUAGAUCCUGUCACAAAAGAAAUAAUAG
rnacentral:lncRNA from 1 species